rnacentral:rRNA from 1 species
GUCGUAAACUUUAACUUACAUUUUUCUCCUCGCCAGGGAACUACGAGCUAAGCUUAAAACCCAAAGGACUUGACGGUACCCCAUAUCCCCCUAGAGGAGCCUGUCCUAUAAUCGAUAACCCCCGUUUUACCUCACCAUUUUUUGUUAAUCAGCCUGUAUACCUCCGUCGUCAGCUUACCACGUGAGCGUGUGAGCUAAAUGUUUUUUCAACCACACGUCAGGUCAAGGUGCAGCAAAUAAAAUGGAAAGAGAUGGGCUACACUCUCUAUUCUAGAGUAAACAAAAGACUAAAUGAAACCCAGUCAGAAGGCGGAUUUAGCAGUAAAGUGAAACCAGAGCGUUCAUUUAAACAUGGCACUGGGGUGUGUACACACCGCCCGUCACCCUCCUCAAUGCUUCAAAACAGUAUUUUACACUUUUUAGCUCCACAGAAGAGGCAAGUCGUAACAUGGUAAGUAUACCGGAAGGUAUGCUUGGAAU